GGGAAAUGUCUCCGAGCUUUGUGCCCUGAAGAACAAGGACAGCCUUUUUAUUAAAGAGAGACUGCUGAAGAGACAGACGGAUGAAAAAAAUUUAAUAAGUCUUCCUUAGAAGGUUGAAUGCUGCAUAUUGUUAGAACUUGGAAAAUAUCUCCCACCUGGAACCAUCCAAGACACUGAAAAGCUGUGAAACUAUGAACAAACAGCAAAAUAGGAAAUGAAAAAUAUUCAUAGGGAUUUUUAAAAAUAGAAAUAUCUUGGCUUAAACACUAAAUUUGAAAAUGAAACUAUCCCAGCUUCUUUUAAAUACACGUCUUCAUUACUGAUUCUCUCCGAUGAAAACAUAUUUGGAUGCUUUCAACCAGACGCGUUCUCUGUGCAUCUAUCUCUCCAUCAGUAUAUUCCUGGCAUGAUCUUUGUCAUUGAUACUUUCAUUUGGACAAGAUAGCCUUGUGUAUUAAGCAAAACCCAAAAUAUGCCAAAUGUGAUGAACUGUUUCAGCUUUGAAAACAUCAGCUCAGAAAACUUUGUGUUGUCAAGACCUCUGUUACAAGACUCUGCCCCAAGAUUCUUCAAAAAAUGUCAAAGCCACACUUAGCUCCUUGGAAACGAGAGUCCCUAACAAAGGAUUUGCUAGUGAUUGCUGGCAGAAGCAAGCUUUGUGACGUCAGUGAGAACUCACAGGUGCUGCUCCUCCAGCUGGGGCCUGACGGCAGAGUUCAUCGAGCUAGCGUCUUACUGUCUUACUCGAGUGACCCAGG